rnacentral:rRNA from 1 species
GACGAACGCUGGCGGCGUGCUUAACACAUGCAAGUCGAACGGUGAAGCGCCUUCCUUUUUGGUGGGUGUGGAUGAGUGGCGAACGGGUGAGUAACACGUGAGUAACCUGCCCCCUUCUUCUGGAUAACCGCAUGAAAGUGUGGCUAAUACGGGAUAUUCUGGGUCUGUCGCAUGAUGGGUCUGGGAAAGAUAUUGUUUCGGUGGGGGAUGGGCUCGCGGCCUAUCAGCUUGUUGGUGGGGUGAUGGCCUACCAAGGCGGUGACGGGUAGCCGGCCUGGGAGGGUGGCCGGUCACACUGGGACUGAGACACGGCCCAGACUCCUACGGGAGGCAGCAGUGGGGAAUAGUGCACAAUGGGCGCAAGCCUGAUGCAGCGACGCCGCGUGAGGGAUGGAGGCCUUCGGGUUGUGAACCUCUUUCGCCAGUGAAGCAGGCCUGCCUCGUUUGUGGGUGGGUUGACGGUAGCUGGAUAAGAAGCGCCGGCUAACUACGUG